rnacentral:rRNA from 1 species
GACGUAGGAGGCGAGCGUUGUCCGGAUUCAUUGGGCGUAAAGAGCACGCAGGCGGUUUGGCAAGUCGGAUGUGAAAACCCGGGGCUCAACUCCGGGCUUGCAUUCGAUACGGGCAGGCUAGAGUUCGGUAGGGGAGUCUGGAAUUCCUGGUGUAGCGGUGAAAUGCGCAGAUAUCAGGAGGAACACCGGUGGCGAAGGCGGGACUCUGGGCCGAUACUGACGCUGAGGAGCGAAAGCGUGGGGAGCGAACAGG